CAGCCGCCGCGGGAAUACGGAGGGUGCAAGCGUUAAUCGGAAUUACUGGGCGUAAAGCGCACGCAGGCGGUCUGACAAGUCAGAUGUGAAAUCCCCGGGCUUAACCUGGGACGUGCAUUUAAUACUGUAUGACUAGAGUAUGGUAGAGGAAAGGGGAAUUCCUGGUGUAGCAGUGAAAUGCGUAGAGAUCAGGAGGAACAUCGGUGGCGAAGGCGCCUUUCUGGACUAAUACUGACACUGAGGAGCGAAGGCGUGGGGAGCAAACAGGAUUAGAUACCCGAGUAGUCCCUGUCUCUUAUAC
rnacentral:rRNA from 1 species